UCACAAGCUCUCAGCUUAUGGCUCCUCUCAAAAUUCUCCUCUGUGGUGAUGUACUCGGCCGUCUCAAUCAGCUAUUCAAACGCGUUUCUUCGGUGAACAAGGCAGCUGGUCCAUUUGAUGCUCUUCUUUGCGUAGGCCAAUUUUUUCCUGAUUCGGUUGAGGGGAUUGAGGAAUUCAAUGGCUACAUUGAGGGGCGUUCCAAGAUUCCGAUACCGACCUAUUUCAUUGGUGAUUAUGGUGCAGGGUCCCCAAAAAUAUUGCCAGAAGCAUUGAAGGACCCGAGUAACAAAGGGUUUAAGAUGGAGGGUUUAAGAGUCUGUGACAAUUUGUACUGGUUGAAAGGAAGUGGGAAGUUUAGCCUUCAUGGGUUAUCUGUGGCAUACUUAUCUGGUAGGCGAACUCCAAGUGGAACUCAAUUUGGAACAUAUAGUCAAGAUGAUGUUGAUGCUUUGAGGGCUUUAGCAGAGGAUCCAGGAACAGUAGACAUCUUUCUGACAUAUCCUUUGGUUUUAUAUUGAUCUUUGUCAUUUUCUUCACCCCCCUAUUGCAAGUACUCUAUACAAUCUCUUUGAUUUCCUUAAUCAAAAAACACUAAUGAGUGGCCCAGUGGAGUAACAAAUGGAACGACAUCAAAAGCUCUUGUAGAAAUUUCUGAUUCAUCUGGGAGUGAUCCCACAGUGUCAGAGUUGGUAACUGAGAUUAAGCCUCGGUAUCAUGUUGCAGGAACUGUAGGUGUAUACUUUGAUCGUGAACCAUAUGCUAACAUUGAUGCUCUACACGCAACUCGCUUUUUGGGCUUAGCUCCUGUUGGAAACAAAGAUAAACAGAAAUUCAUUCAUGCGAUAUCCCCCACUCCAGCAUCAACAAUGUCAAAAACUGAGCUUAGUGCAAAGCCACCAAACACUACUUUAUGUCCGUAUACAAAUGUUGACAAAGCAUCCCCACCCGAUGGAGCGACAAAGAGGCCCGGUGAUAGUACUUCUGAGUCACAGUAUUGGAGGUAUGAUGUAUCCAAGAAAAAGCAGAAACAUGGAGAUGGUGGUGGUGACAGACUCUGCUUUAAAUUUGUCUCUUCUGGCUCUUGUCCAAGAGGAAACCAGUGCCAAUUUAGACAUGAUGAAGAAGCUUCGGAACAAUACUCAAGAGGUGUGUGUUUUGACUUUCUCAACAAGGGAAAAUGUGAAAAAGGUCCUGAUUGCAACUUCAAGCACAGUUUGCAGGAAGAAGGUGACAGAUCAGCAUCUAGGGCAGCAAGCUCUAACAGGUCAAAAGAAUGCUGGUUUUGUUUGUCAAGCCCGAACGUUGAGUCACAUCUCAUCACUAGUGUCGGAGAAUAUUACUACUGUGCACUUGCUAAAGGACCUUUAACACCUGAUCAUGUGCUAAUUAUGCCAAUUGAACAUACACCCAAUACGUUAUCUCUGCCACUGGAAUGUGAGAAGGAACUGGAACGACUUCAAAGCAGCUUCAAAGCUUACUUCAAAAAGCAAGGGAAGGAAGCAGUUUUCUUUGAGUGGGUAUUUAAGCGAGGAAGUCAUGCCAAUCUUCAGGUUGUUCCUAUUCCCUCGUCCAGGGCAUCUGCGGUUCGAGAUAUUUUUAACUUGGCUGCUGACAAAUUGGGAUUCAAGCUUACUAUGGUUAAAGAAGGAAGACAAGCAUUGCGGACACAGUUCGACAGAAGUUGCAGCUUAUUUUAUGUUGAAGUUCCUGGAGGUGAUAUUUUGUCACAUGUUAUUGAGGAGAAUGAAAAAUUCCCAGCUCAAUUUGGUCGGGAGGUUUUAGCAGGCUUGUUGAAUAUAGCAGAUAGAGCUGAUUGGCGAAAUUGUAAGGUUGGUAAAGAAGAAGAAACUAAAAUGGUUGAGAGAUUCAAGAACGGCUUUCAGGAAUACGAUCCAAAUCAAUAGGAUAGCCGAGAAAUAUGCAACACUAUAGCGAGCUCUUUCUCUCGUGUUCUUCAUUUCAUGCAACUUCAACAUUUCCUUGAGGACGCUGUUGUAAACGCCUAACCGGGCAGCAACAACAUUGCUGCAAUUUUCAUGUAUGUAACUCAGUCUGUCAGUUAGGCUAUUGAGGUAG